GUUGAUUUCGGAGAGGGAGCAUGAGAAACGGCUACCACAUCUAAGGAAGGCAGCAGGCGCGUUAAUUACCCAAUCCUGACUCAGGGAGGUAGUGACAAGAAAUAGCAAACCGGGAACCUCAUGGUUUCACGGUAUUGCAAUGAGAACAAUUUAAAACCCUUAGCGAGAAUCAAGUGGAGGACAAGUCUGGUGCCAGCACCCGCGGUAAUUCCAGCUCCACUAGCGUAUAUUAAAGUUGUUGCAGUUAAGAAGCUCGUAGUUGAACCUCUGUCUGGGGCUAGUUUUGGCUUUGGUCAGGCUAGUUCUAGGCAUCCGCCUACAAGACUUAGAGGGCAUUCAGUUGUUCACUAGGAGGAGUAGGCAUUUUACUUUGAAAAAAUUAGAGUGUUUAAGGCAGGCAAUCGCCCGCAUAUAUUAGCAUGGAAUAAUAGAAUAGGACACUUUUCCAUUUCGUUGGUUAUUGGAAUCGUGUAAUGAUUAAUAGGGACAGUUGUGGGCAUUUGUAUUUAAUUGUCAGAGGUGAAAUUCUUGGAUUUAUUAAAGACAAACUAACGCGAAAGCAUUUGCCAAGGAUGUUUUCAUUAAUCAAGAACGAAAGUUAGGGGAUCAAAGACGAUCAGAUACCGUCCUAGUCUUAACUAUAAACUAUUCCGACUCAAUGUUUGACUGGCUUAUAUAACCAGUUGAGCGUUGUAUGAGAAAUCAAAGUCUUUAGGUUCUGGGGGGAGUAUGGUUGCAAAGCUGAAACUUAAAGGAAUUGACGGAAGAGCACAACCAGGAGUGGAUUCUGCGGCUUAAUUUGAUUCAACACGGGGAAACUUACCAGGUUAAAACAAUAGUGGGAUUGACAGUUUGAGAGCGCUUUCUUGAUUGGUUGGGUGGUGGUGCAUGGCCGUUCUUAGUUGGUGGAGUGAUUUGUCUGCUUAAUUGCGUUAACGAACGAGACCUUAACCUGCUUACUAGACUGGCGAUCAUCAAUCGUUAGCUCUUCUUAGAGGGACUUUGGUUGUUUUAACUCCAAGGAAGUUUGAGGCAAUAACAGGUCUGUGAUGCCCUUAGAUAUCCUGGGCCGCACGCGUCAUACAAUGACUAGUUCAGAAAGUUUUCUCCUGACCCGAAAGGGGAUGGGUAAUCUUGAUAAUACUAGUCGUGUUAGGGAUCGAUCUUUGCAAUUAUAGAUCUUGAACGAGGAAUUCCUAGUAAGUGCGGUUCAUCAGACCGUACUGAUUACGUCCCUGCUCUUUGUACACACCGCCCGUCGCUUCUACCGAGUGGGUGGUCCGGUGAGAUAAUUGAACUUCGCAGGUAACUGAGAAGAAAGAUUAUCAAACCUAUCCACCUCGAGGAAGAAGAAGUCGUAACAAGGUU
rnacentral:rRNA from 1 species